CUCUGCGCCGGGGUGGGGAGAAGCGGGAUCCUCACAGCUUUGUAAUGGGAAGACCCACCCUAAUCUGUUCUGAACUUGCAUGAAAAUGGAAGAAACACCUGUUAUUACGCCUCUCCACGCUUCAGUUUCUUCAGCAGUACUCCAGAGACGAUGUUAAGCAAAUCUUUGCAGAUUCGUGCUGGGUUAUCUCGUGUGCCAAGAGGAUUCUUGAUGCUGUGCAGUAAAUUGCUAAGAUUACAUUCGUUAACAUCAUCACCAAUCUCAUCAGAAAAAUCUCUGUGGUAGCCUUGAAAACCAACAGCCUGCAAUCGCAGUGAAAACAAGAAGCCUGGAACCCACAGGAGGGAGCAGAAUGGGGCUGGAGUUGCUUCAAAGCCUCAUUUCCAGUGAAAUGUCAUUAUUUGACCUUUCUGGUGGUUCCCUUAAAGACUUGCAAGACUGUCUGUAUUUUACCUGACUCA